GAUGAACGCUGGCGGCGUGCUUAACACAUGCAAGUCGAACGAUAAAGCCCAGCUUGCUGGGUGGAUUAGUGGCGAAAGGGUGUGUAACACGUGAGUAUACUGCCCCUUACUCUUGGAUAAGCCUGCGAAACUGGGUCUAAUAUCCGAGAGAGGCGCUUAUCGUACGGGGGGGGUGGGAGAGAUUUACCGGUGUUGGAUGGACUCGCGGCCUAUCAGCUUGUUGGUGGGGUAGUGGCUCACCAAGGCGAUGACGGGUAGCCGGCCUGAGAGGGUGACCGGCCACACUGGGACUGAGACACGGCCCAGACUCCUACGGGAGGCAGCAGUGGGGAAUAUUGCACAAUGGGCGAAAGCCUGAUGCAGCAACGCCGCGUGAGGGAUGACGGCCUUCGGGUUGUAAACCUCUUUCAGUAGGGAAGAAGCGAGAGUGACGGUACCUGGAGAAGAAGCACCGGCUAACUACGUG
rnacentral:rRNA from 1 species